GCCGAUGUGGCUUAAUGGUAAAGCAGCACUUUCGUAAAGUGAAGACUGGCGGUUCGAUCCCGCCCAUCGGCUCCA
rnacentral:tRNA from 2 species